rnacentral:rRNA from 1 species
AAUGAACGUUGGCGGCAUGGAUUAGGCAUGCAAGUCGCACGAGAACCCAAUUAGCUUGCUAGGAGGGGGACAGUGGCGAAAGGGAGAGUAACGCGUGGUUACUUGCCCUCGAGACCGGGAUAGCGUCGGGAAACUGGCAGUAAUACCGGAUAGCAUCUACGGAUCAAAUGGUGUGAUUCCGCUCGAGGAUAGGACCGCGUACUAUUAGCUUGUUGGUGAGGUAAUGGCUCACCAAGGCUGCGCUGGUUACCGGGUGUGAGAGCAUGGCCCGGCUCACUGGGACUGAGACACAGCCCAGACAUCUACGGAGGGCUGCAGUCGAGUAUAUUCGGCAAGGGGCGAAAGUCUGACCGAGCGAUGCCGCGUGCGGGAUGAAGGCCCUCGGGUUGUAAACCGCUGUCAGUUGUUAGGAAAUGCUAGGGGGUUCUCCCCUUAGUUUGACCGAUCUUCGGAGGAAGGACGGGCUAAGUUCGUGCCAGCCGCCGCCGUAACAC